GCCCGUGUGGCGAAAUUGGUAGACGCAGUAGACUCAAAAUCUGCCGCUGGCAACAGCGUAUCGGUUCGACUCCGAUCAUGGGCACCA
rnacentral:tRNA from 1 species